rnacentral:rRNA from 1 species
AUUGAACGCUGGCGGCAGGCCUAACACAUGCAAGUCGAGCGGACCGGCGGACGGGUGAGUAAUACCUAGGAAUCUGUCUGUUCGUGGGGGAUAACGUCCGGAAACGGGCGCUAAUACCGCAUACUCUCAGUUGAGCCUAGGUCGUAUUAGCUAGUUGGUGGGGUAAAGGCCUACCAAGGCGACGAUCCGUAACUGGUCUGAGAGGAUGAUCAGUCACACUGGAACUGAGACACGGGCCAGACUCCUACGGUAGGCAGCAGUGGGGAAUAUUGGAUAAUGGGCGAAAGCCGGAUCCAGCCAUGCCGCGUGUGUUAAGAAGGUCUUCGGAUUGUAAAGCACUUUAAGUUGGGAGGCGUUACCAACAGAAUAAGCACCGGCUAACUUCGUGCCAGCAGCCGCGGUAAUUC